GACGAACGCUGGCGGCGUGCUUAACACAUGCAAGUCGAACGGAAAGACCCUGCUUUUGUGGGGUGCUCGAGUGGCGAACGGGUGAGUAACACGUGAGUAACCUGCCCUUGACUUUGGGAUAACUUCAGGAAACUGGGGCUAAUACCAGAUAGGAGCUCCUGCUGCAUGGUGGGGGUUGGAAAGUUUCGGCGGUUGGGGAUGGACUCGCGGCUUAUCAGCUUGUUGGUGGGGUAGUGGCUUACCAAGGCUUUGACGGGUAGCCGGCCUGAGAGGGUGACCGGCCACAUUGGGACUGAGAUACGGCCCAGACUCCUACGGGAGGCAGCAGUGGGGAAUAUUGCACAAUGGGCGGAAGCCUGAUGCAGCAACGCCGCGUGCGGGAUGACGGCCUUCGGGUUGUAAACCGCUUUCGCCUGUGACGAAGCGUGAGUGACGGUAAUGGGUAAAGAAGCACCGGCUAACUACGUG
rnacentral:rRNA from 1 species